UCUUAAGAGUCCAAUGCCCACCGAAA
rnacentral:piRNA from 1 species